CAGACACGCAUAGCCAUCGGCUAGUUAAUAUAUAAAACUCACUAUUCGACCGGAAGCGACCGAGCUAACUAGAUACAAUGAAUAGAAAUCUUAGUUUUAUAGUUUGCUUCCCUAUAUUGAUUUCAGUUUGUUCGACGGUCUGUAAUGCCAACUGGACCGUUUUAUAACCAGCUGAUAAGCCGUUUAUGCAAAAUAAAAUGCCUUACUUUUCAUAGAAUUGUAUUUCUAGAGAAAGCUUCUUUCGUUCUCUCGUCGCAAAUGUAGGACCAAUACGUUGUUGUGUUGGGAGCUUCGAGUGAUGUCGCACGCAUGCCACUUUAAGCCGACCGUUAUACAAUUCCAUCUACUCUGUUGACUCUUCUGCUACUUGUCGUCAUCGGACAUUGGUUAAGGCACAGUUCAAUAUGGACAACGAGGAAAACGUCCUACUCCUUGCCAUGGAAGAACAAUUCAAGACUGACUAAAUAGUUUUAAGAAGAUUUCUUAACGAACUUUGCCCCACGUUGAUCAGUUUAGUUCUCGCCGUCGUAGAUGAUUUCGAUCAUCUAAAGUCUAAAGUCAGUGCGUUUUCUAUGGUAGCAGUUGAACAGAGGUAGAUGUGACGCAAUAGAAAAAGCUGCUGAUGACCAGAAUGCCUAUUCUGUCAACGUUUAAGACAGUGUCAAGAUUUGAGUUGUUUAUACAGGGCGUGUCUGUUGUCCUGCUGUUAUUGCUACCGCCACUGCCGUCAUGUUUGAAGAGCGAGUUAGAGUCCAGGAUUACAAGAGGCGAUUCUAUACGGCAUAAUUUUUGCUAAUGCGCUACUGUUAAUGUGAUUACUUUGAAAGAAGGUAAAUGAUGAUAGUACGUAGCUAAUUCAACGUCGGACGAGUAACAGUCAUUCAUUCGCGCUCGAGCAGCGGCGGGUACGGUGUAAUGGCAACAGCUAAAAGAUAACAACGACGAUGCGCCCUUGCGCUAUCUAUGCCCAUCUAGAAUUAUAUAAUAAUAACAGUGGUAUCACACUCCCGUAUUUUCUCUACUGUGUAGCAGUGUAAUGUCUGAAAGGUGGCAUCCGCGCUCUAGGCGUUUGUGCGCUGUCAUCAUCGCUGCCGCAGACACUAGUGGUUGAAAAAGGCCUACGUUGGCCGAGUGUCGGAAAGAUGAUCAAGUUGAGCGCAGUGAGAAGCGACGGAAGGGGCGGACACGCAGCUAGACAAAGGGGCAUUUAUCUGCGUCACUUCGAACGGCACCGGAUGCUCUCAGCUCCAACUUCCAGAACUAAUAGAACUAAUAACGAAACUGCAACAGUCGCAAUACUAGUGACUACAAACGUCCGAACAGGCUGGGCAAUUCAGACCUACUAGUAACUGGAUCAGUGGACAACAGGUGGUAUGAUAAAACGGUCGUAGCCUUCAGCUACGAUUACUGGCGAUUGACUUCGUGGGAUUCCUGCUUUUCAGCGCGUAUGUUGACGCCGUACGAGCUGAGCUCGCACGCAAUCAAAUGCAACAGCGACGCUGUAAAUCGAAAUGACGCGACAGUGAUCCAGGCAGCAGAAGCAGCGAGAAUAACAGCAGCAUUUUUGUUAUGUGUCCUUUGUAUCGCAGACGAUUUCUGGCUCGACUGGGACGAGCGGACGAGCACGAUCGGAAAGAAAUUUCAGAACACAAACGGCUCAGAAAAGUCGUUUUGGUUCUGCGCUCUGCGUGCGCAUUUGUGUUUCUAUCCAUCUUGUGUGUCUGUGUGGAAUCGCAACACAUGUCAACAUUAUCCGUAGCGUCGUCUCGAGUAGCAGAGAGCCAAAGUGCGCUGGAAUAGACUAUGAGAUGUCCGGGCUGGAAUAAGCUUCAGAAUGGCCAGCCUCCGUGACGGGCUGGAAGCAAGAACAGGUAGCGGUUGCCGCAUAGUGUCGUACCGUGCUAGCGACGUUCGUGCGGCUGAUUGCUGGAAGGGCUAGAGUGAAGGGCGGUCUGCAAUUGCACUUCUCAAAUGGGUAGUUGUUGCAGCGGUAGCAUUCGAGACGAACUGGGAGCAGCCGACCGGCCAGCCAGGCAGACAGCCAACAAACGGGGUGUUGCUACUGUUGCCGGUGCCGCUGCUAUGCCACGGAGUUGAACCUGCCGGUUGACCUGACGGUUGACUCCGAAGGAAAGAAGAAAGCGUGGAGAAGGAGAACGGACACGAUGACGAUGACUGGCCAGCGUCGAUAUGUUCUUGCCGCUUGCGCUAUCGUUGUUAUUGUUGGCGGCGUUCUUGAUAUCCUGGCUUCUUCUGCUGCCGCUGAAGUGGAUCGGGAAGCAAAAGGAGUGGAGAAGCCUAACCGCAUCGACUCAGAUCGACCGGAUGGGCCCAACACAAAGGCCAAUGCGCGCAGUGCCCAUACCCGUCUCGCUCUUUUCGUCCCGUUCCGUUGUGGAACUGCUGCUACUGAUGGCGCUGGCUUUCCUGCGGCGGCCGCCGCGGCAGCUGCUGCUCCCGGCCUCUAAAAAAGUCCCACGCACAGCGGAAAACGUUGCUGCCGCUGUUGCCGACGCUCCUGGCAGGCGCUCUCACGAUACUACUCUCUUGUGCAACAGCUGCAACAGCAGCAGCAGCAGCAGCAGUUGUUGUUGUUGUUUCCAGUACCACGGCGAAAGGCCUACGGAACAAAAGUUUCACGACGGUGAAGACAACAAAAAAACGAGAUACGUAAUAACGCCGGUAGCCACGACAUCUCCAGGCUCAAGUCAGACCAAGCCAAGAAGCCAAUCGUAACAUAUGUACAUAUAUUAUAUCAAAUAACUAAGAGUACCGAUGCGCGCCAUCAGCAACAGCAGCAUCAAAUAUGAUGCGGUGUGAUGAGACGUCGAAGCGUAUGAGAUAGGAUAUCGUGAGUGAUCUUUUUUUCGUCAUCUUCAGAAGAAGACGAUGAUGCAAAGAAGAACUGGCGGAAAACACAAAGUUACGUAAAGGUGGGCGAUGAUGCUUCCAAGGAUCUGAAUUUCAACGAGACAAUUUUAAAAUGCAUGACAUCGCGGGCCGUACGAUGGAUGGCGACACUGGAUCGUGAGCGGCACCGAGAAAAUGGCUAUCGAACGUGUUCGCGGCACGUUACUCCAUCGACUAGUCCGCCUUCGAGCGCCUCGGCCUGGUGCCUGUACUAAAGCAGCACUAGCGUAACACACAGCGAAACGCAGUGGCAGAUUUGUCGUAAAUAAAUAUAUGUAUACAAAUCCGGCCACUACCGCACGCACAAUACGACAAUAGAACGUGAUAGCCUGGUCGUUGUUCCUGACGAGCCUUGCUGUUGCCUAUUACCGAUGGGUGGCUUCACUAUAUCCGGCCAAGAAAAGCGCGUCGGACAACUGAGGACGUUGUUACAAUAGAUAUGCUGUGUAUAGACGCGUGUGCGUGUCUGUGAACCGGCUUUUUUUUUGUGUCUGCCGGGCAAACGAGCAGUCGGCGUCACUGAUUCAAGCCUCCAUUAUUUUCUACUACGAUUCCGUUUACUGGGAUCUAGCUGCUGUCAGCUGCGGCUUUACGGACAAAGUCGCCGGAAGAGUGAAAGGACUUGCGGACGUGUAGAAGGAAACACCUACAGAAGAGCACUAGCAACCCAGUUGAAGUAGAAAUUGCUUGCCAAGGAACGUCAGAUACCAUUUCGUUGUCACUUUUUGCCUGCUGCUGCCGCGUCCGCCGCCACCUCUGACGACGAUGAGGAGGAGCAAAAACCGGCCAUAGCCAAUUCGGCGAUCAUACUCAUCACUAUAUUUGUGCGCACGCGCGCCCAUACACCGUGUGCUGAUAAUGACGCUCGUGAUAUUGUACGUCCGCUGUACGGCGCAAUGGCUAUGGUAGCGUCGUCGGUAAUAUCUGUUUUAGCAAGAUCUGCGUGAGCGUGAACGGAACAUAGCGUAAUAGUAACAGAAUAGUAGGGACAAUGAACACGAAGAGCUAGCCACCGACCAGGAUGAGAUAAACGUGCUGAAUAUCACGCGGCAUGGCUACAGCAGUGGCAGCAAGAGCAGCGAUUUCGCUGGAAGAGGUUUUAUUGGAGGAGGAGAAGGUCGAGGAAAAGAUGGAGAAAGAACAAAAAUAAGGAAAGAAAAUUAGGCUUAUAAGGUAGCUUCCAUAAGUCCGUAAAAGCAUUAUGCCUUAU
rnacentral:lncRNA from 1 species